GUUUAUUUUUUCUAGAUAGACGAUAAGACCCUAAAACCUUUAUCGAGCGCCCAACCCUCUUUUUGCUGGGGCGGCAAAUUAUAACUCCUUCUGUAGAAAAACAUAUUGAAUGAAUAUUUAACCAUCUUAAAUUAAACCCAAAAAGGGACUUUAGGGAUAACAGCAUAAUUUUUAUAUAGAGUUACUUAUCGACGUAAAAGAUUAUGACCUCGAGGUUGAAUUGAUAAAACUUUACUAACCAGAUGUAAAAAUAUGUGGGUCGGUUCGACCUUUAACUUAUCACAGGAUC
rnacentral:rRNA from 1 species